rnacentral:rRNA from 1 species
UACAGAGGGGGCAAGCGUUGUUCGGAAUUACUGGGCGUAAAGGGCGCGUAGGCGGCCUUCUAAGUCGAACGUGAAAUCCCCGGGCUUAACCUGGGAACUGCAGUCGAGACUGUCUAGCUAGAGUAUGGGAGAGGGAAGUGGAAUUUCAGGUGUAGCGGUGAAAUGCGUAGAUAUCUGAAGGAACAUCAGUGGCGAAAGCGACUUCCUGGACCAAUACUGACGCUCAUGCGCGAAAGCGUGGGGAGCAAACAGG